rnacentral:rRNA from 1 species
UNUGAACUGGGUGACUAGAGUGUGUCAGAGGGAGGUAGAAUUCCACGUGUAGCAGUGAAAUGCGUAGAGAUGUGGAGGAAUACCGAUGGCGAAGGCAGCNUCCUGGGAUAACACUGACGUUCAUGCCCGAAAGCGUGGGUAGCAAACAGGAUUAGAUACCNUGGUAGUCCACGCCCUAAACGAUGUCGAUUAGCUGUUGGGCAGCAUGACUGCUUAGUAGCGAAGCUAACGCGUGAAAUCGACCGCCUGGGGAGUACGGUCGCAAGAUUAAAACUCAAAGGAAUUGACGGGGACCCGCACAAGCGGUGGAUGAUGUGGAUUAAUUCGAUGCAACGCGAAGAACCUUACCUGGUCUUGACAUGUGCGGAACCCUCCAGAGACGGAGGGGUGCCUUCGGGAGCCGUAACACAGGUGCAGCAUGGCUGUCGUCAGCUCGUGUCGUGAGAUGUUGGGUUAAGUCCCGCAACGAGCGCAACCCUUGUCAUUAGUUGCCAUCAUUAAGUUGGGCACUCUAAUGAGACUGCCGGUGACAAGCCGGAGGAAGGUGGGGAUGACGUCAAGUCCUCAUGGCCCUUAUGACCAGGGCUUCACACGUCAUACAAUGGUCGGUACAGAGGGUAGCCAAGCCGCGAGGUGGAGCCAAUCUCACAAAACCGAUCGUAGUCCGGAUUGCACUCUGCAACUCGAGUGCAUGAAGUCGGAAUCGCUAGUAAUCGCAGGUCAGCAUACUGCGGUGAAUACGUUCCCGGGUCUUGUACACACCGCCCGUCACACCAUGGGAGUGGGGGAUACCAGAAGUAGGUAGGGUAACCGCAAGGAGC